GAUGAAGAACGUAGCGAAAUGCGAUAAGUAAUGUGAAUUGCAGAAUUCAGUGAAUCAUCGAAUCUUUGAACGCACAUUGCGCCCGCCAGUAUUCUGGCGGGCAUGCCUGUUCGAGCGUCAUUUCAACCCUCAAGCCCAGCUUGGUGUUGGGGAUCGGCACAGGCGCCCUCGGGCGCCCGCCGUCCCCUAAAUCUAGUGGCGGUCCCGCUGCAGCCUCCUCUGCGUAGUAGUUUUCUCCUCGCAAGGGCAGCUCGGUGGCGACCUCGCCGUAAAACCCCCAACUUCUGAAAGGUUGACCUCGGAUCAGGUAGGGAUACCCGCUGAACUUAAGCAUAUCAAUAAGCGGAGGA
rnacentral:misc_RNA from 1 species